UUUUUUUGCUGCACUAUUGUAACAAUGAUUUACCAUAUUGAUUAUUAGUCUCUGGACUGGUGUCACUUUGGAGCUUUAGGGGCCUCUGUUGGGCUGCUAUUGUUGUGGACUAGAAGAGUAGUAGAGAAAUUUGAUGGGGCUGUGGGAAAUUAUUCAGUUUAUGUAAGUUUAGAUCAAUACAAGUCGGUGUUUCAAGUCGUGCCUAUGGUCCCAAUUCUGAGCAUGACAAAUAUGUGGGUUUGGUGGAGUCUUGGAAGAGAUUUUGAUAUGAUUCCGUUUGAGAAGUAGGUUUGAUUUUUUUAAUGAUUUAUUUCAUGGUGUGUUUGUGCAUUAAGAUUAGAGUUUUUUACCCUUAAUAACUUCAAAGGAAUCAAAACUUUUAUAAAGUUUUAUUAUUUUACUUAAAAAGAUGAUUCCCUCUUAAAUUUGAUGGAAGCCAUGCGAUCAAGUUAAUAAAACUCUCUUAAUUUUGAUCAAGAGUGUAUGUCAAUUGUUUAUGAAGUGAAACGACUACUAUUGAUAAUGGUUUCAAUAGAUUAAUAUAUUUUUCAUAGUUUGUCAACAGAUUAAUAUUCAUAGAUUUUAUAUUGCCAUGGAGAUCUGCUGGCAAAAUCACAUGGUAACAUACUUACAUAAAAAUUAAAUGAAUAAAAAAGUCAAUAUGUAAAUCUUCUGCAAAACAAUUGAAGAUUUCUUAAAUGAACAUGUAUAAUUAUGUGUGAAAAUGCUCCACAUGCGAGGCUGUACUAACACUAGCAUAUAUAUAGUUUGAAUGGGGCUCUCUUGAUUUUCCUUAUCUUAUUGAGGUAACUGAAAUAUUUAACUUUCUCAUCAUCAAUGCAAAAUUUCAUAGUAAAUUUCUUCUCUUUGGUUAUAUUAGUCCUACCUUUGUAUUGCUUUGUUCUAUUUAUUUUUUUAUUAUUUUUUUAAAUCAUUUAUUUGUUUCUUUUGUUACAAUUUAUAUUGUGCUGAGGUUAAGGUGUACAUGACCAUAUCUGCAUUACAACUAAUUUCACAUCAUGUUUUCCUAGCUUAUAGAGGGUUGAGACCUAGAAAAUUGCUAAAUUCCCAAUACUAGGCUGCAUCAGGAAUAGCAAAGUUGGGGUCAAAGAUACAACCUUUUCAUCAAGGGAUCUGGCAUUUUGUUAUUUAGGUUAUUUGGUAAUACAACUACAAGACAAGGACAAUCAAGUAUUUACCAAUCUCUCCUUUAUUCUGUAUUGUUUCUUGCAUAUUUAUUGGUAAUAUGUUUCUAGAAAUAAUUUGAAAUUGGAAUGUGAUUGCAUAUUUAAGUUUCUUAGUUAUCUCAAACUUGGUUUAUGUUUGGUUUUAUUGUUUCAUUUCAAGAUUGCCAUUGUUUUUACUACCUCUAUAUACAAUUUGUGUUCUAUCAAAGAAUCAUGUUUUUUUAAUUUCUAUAUUGCAUAUUUUUAUUCUAAAGUUAGUAUGUGGAUGCUAUAUCGUGUAUUUGCCAAAACCUUUUUUUAGUCAUGGGUAUUUUGAUAAAACAACAAAAGUACGUAUUCUUUAAUAUAGCAAAAUUACAAAUUUGAUUUUUAACUUUUAUAUGUUGUAAUACAUUUCUCAACCUGUUCUAUUGCUAGGCUUACAUUGGUGAUACUUCAAAUGAAUAUAACAGCAACUUAUCAAGUGAACAAGAUAGUGAUUCUACAAAGUUUCAAAAAGUUGAUGUUCAAAGCAAUGAGCAACUCACACCAACUUAUCCCAAAAGGACAUAUUCAGUGACUACUACGAAGUAACAAAGGAAGAAGAUACAAAAAAACACAUUAAAGUUGUCUUUCAAUUUAUUUGAAAUAUUGAUUAAGUAGUUCUUUAAAUUUGGGUUUCAUUCAUUUAAUGGAUAAUUAAAGAUGCAAAGGAGUUGAUUUUUCAUUUUAAUUUAAACUUAAGUUUGAUUUCUA